rnacentral:rRNA from 1 species
AGAAUUUGAUCUUGGUUCAGGAUGAACGCUGGCGGCGUGCCUAACACAUGCAAGUCGAGCGAUUCUCUUCGGAGAAGAGCGGCGGACGGGUGAGUAACGCGUGGGUAACCUGCCUCAUACACAUGGAUAACAUACCGAAAGGUAUGCUAAUACAGGAUAAUAUAAGAGAUUCACAUGGAUUUCUUAUCAAAGCUCCGGCGGUAUGAGAUGGACCCGCGUCUGAUUAGCUAGUUGGUAAGGUAACGGCUUACCAAGGCGACGAUCAGUAGCCGACCUGAGAGGGUGAUCGGCCACAUUGGAACUGAGACACGGUCCAAACUCCUACGGGAGGCAGCAGUGGGGAAUAUUGCACAAUGGGCGAAAGCCUGAUGCAGCAACGCCGCGUGAGUGAUGAAGGCCUUCGGGUCGUAAAGCUCUGUCCUCAAGGAAGAUAAUGACGGUACUUGAGGAGGAAGCCCCGGCUAACUACGUGCCAGCCGCCGC